CCUGGACAAAUAGCAGCACAGAGCAGAGGGCAAGGCAAUUUACAAGGAAUCUUAGCAACCAGGCAACGGGCAGUAAACCAGAAAAUCGCCAAGGAAACCCAGCAGAGCGUGAGCUAAGCGAAUUGCAGGAUCUGUGAACCAAUUUACACCCAUCAGAGGAGGGGCAGUUCGGAGAGACACAGAGGCUGUCACCUCCAGUACAUUUGUUGAAGGGCAGCGAGGACAUAGACUCUGUUGAGGGUCGGACAGGCAGGAGUCUCUGGAGCACUGCUCAGGGGCCGUAGAAGGGACCCGUGAGGCUUCACUCCUACUCAGUGGCACGCAGAGACGGAGGCUAGCUCUGCUGCCUGACAAGCACAGAGAUGGGGAAGACAUCCAGCUGGAACUGGAAUCACUCACUAACCUAGUUGGUGGCCAGAGUGUGGACAUCAUGGAAAGGGGCAGCCUGGAGUGAGCUGUGGAGUUGAACGAGCUGUGCUCGAGUUCCCCUCCAACGUGGUGGUGAGACCUGUUCUUGAGGGGAGAUAUAGUCCAUCAUAGCCGAGAAAUCAUGGCAGCAGGAACGUGAAGCAGUCAGGAAGCAGAGAGAUCACACCUUAUCCACAAACAGGAAGCAGAGAAGGAGAGCAGGAACACACUUCCUCCAACAGGCUAACACAGACGAACGUCUCUCCCCUCGGCUUCCCUGACUUGUAAGUCCCCAGAAGUAACUGGACCUGUCUUCAAGGAGAAGAAUAAAUUUAAGCAUAUUGUUGGACAUUGUGCCAUGGAAUUAAGGGGCGUCUGCUUGAAAUAAAGACGGACAAAGGAAAAAUGUCAUGGGGCAAAGGAAAGACCGGAAGACCACAGAAAUCCUGAGUUUCCCAGAUAAAACUGGGAAAGGGCUUCAUUGUCUGCAGCCCAGAGCUGUGGGUGGGAGUUAAGAGUUGUCUAGUCCUUUGUGGACAGGGAGGGGACAGGUUAGAGUGGCUCCAAGCAUUGGGUGUUUGUGUGUGGCACCACCAAGCCUCACACACCCACUGGGAGCACCUGGCAUUAUUCAUCUCUGACACUUCUAGAGACCAGAAUUCAGAGGAGUUGAGUAACACACCCAAAGACACACAGCUAGGAAAACAGUGCCUGAUUUUCACUGAGCGGCUCUCCUUCAGUGCCAAUGUUUAUUGUUAACAAAUUAUGGAAGUGACGGGGCAUGGAUCCGCCUCAGUACUGACCAAACAGUGCCAACUGUUUGCCAGAGGCACUUAAUUUAAAAAUGUCAGUGCUUUCUGUUUCCGGCGUGCCUCCACUGUUGGCUUUUGAGAUCGCAAGCAAGUGUUACUUCCUAGUAUUCCGCCAAAGCAGUGCCAACGUCCCUUAGGCUCUUGUGAGAGAUUUUUAAGUUUAUUUGAUUUUGUCUUGGCAUUUUGCAGUGGUCAGCAGGAGGGGUGGGAAGCGGCUCUUGGGUCACUGAUAAUGGAUAGCGGAAGGGGCUUUUUAUGAAGACUCCCUCCCUGUGUGAGCCUGCAGGGCUCAGAUCAUCAUUGCUGCAUGUGGUGGUUUGAUAACCUGUUUUAAUAAUUUAUUUUGCAGUACUUUCACAUUCACAGGAAUGUUGUGAGAACUUCCAUUAUCUCCUUACCCUCGUUCCCUGAAGGUCGGUGCUCAGUUUCCUCACCGUCUCUGAAUAUGAACAUCUAUCCGUUAUCAUCAUCCCUCUCUGGAACUACUUGAGAGCGAGUUGCAGCCAUGAUGCCCCCAACCUUAAAGUCUUCAGUGUGCACUUCCCUAUAUCAAGGACACCGUACCCCUGCCCCCUCCCCCCCCACAGCCACAACUCUUAUGGAUUGAGCAAUGACAUUGAUAGAAUACGACGACUCAGUUCACAGACCUGAAUAAAGCUGCUGGUUGUUCCCUCUUUUUCUUUAUCCACGACCCUCGCUGAGCAUCAGCCACUGAUUUCCUGUCCCUUCUACAUUUAUUUAUUAAUGUUAACAGAAGCUAGCUCUUCUGAUUUACUCGCCUACCCUCCACCUCCUCCUUGUCAACUUAUAUAGAACACACGAUGGGUCACAAUCUGUUAAUACCACUAUUUAUCUUGUCACCCAGCUGUCCUGAAUUUGGUUAUGAGGCCCUUCAGGCUGCCUCAUGUAUCUUAUUAACAGGUCUGUGUCCCCUCUGAUGGAAGAAUUGUUGAAGAGUUUUCUGGAACAAGAAGGGUUUCCCACUCUCUGUCUUUGCUCUGUAGAAACAGCCAUUUCUAUAAAGCCUUGGCUCCUUGAGUGGAGGAAGGUGCCUGGGAGCCAACCUCUGUGCUCUUUUGGCUGAUGGAGUUAGGAGUCACAUGUGUGUACACAUAUUUAUGAUUUACUGUGUGCACACACGUGUGUGCAUGUGCGUGUGUGUACAUGCAUGUAUGUGUGUGCGAGCAAUCACACACACUUAUCUAUCUUCAUCCACUUAUUUACUCACAAGUUCAUUGCCACAUUUUGGAUGAUACUCCAUCACUUCUUGAUUUUAUCUUUUCCAACUUGUAAUCAUCCAUCUUCAUGGCCAAUUUGACUGGAUUUAGAGUCACCUAGGAGACACACCUCUGGGCACAUCUUUCAAGGCAUUUCUGGAGAGAUUUAACUCAGCAGGGGAGGUACUCCCUGGAUGUGAGUAACACUGUUUUAUGGAUUGGGGUCCUGGACAGAAUAAAAAGGUGGAAAAGAGAACAAGCAGAGACUCAACAUUGAGUUAAUUCUUGGUGUUCCCUUUCUACAGACACGGUGUGAUCAGUCAUUGUGGGAAUCCAGUAGAGUCAUUGUAUCCAGGGUAAACAGGAUGAGAUAGUUGCUUUUCAAUGUACCCAGGGUAACAUCAGAAUGUAAUCAUUGUCUGUUAGAGGUCAUUGUAGAGAAUAGUGAUUGUUUCAUGUGCUUUAUGCUUUAUAGAGUUGUUUUUUCUGAAAGGAUUCUCCAUCCAUUUGAUGACUUUAGUCACAAGAAGGUCCUGGCAUGCCUGGAGCAUCUAGCUUUGCUGGGUCCUUCAAACAGUACACAAUAAGGACUAAAGUUGUGGGGUGUGAUGGUUUCCUUCAUAAAAACCAUCAAAGGGCUUUGGUAUGAGGAACUUGUUUUAUCCAAAAAACAACCUGUAUGUACCAAUCAAUAAAUACUCUUCUCCAGGUUAAA